GAUGAACGCUGGCGGCGUGCCUAAUACAUGCAAGUCGAGCGAACAGAUAAGGAGCUUGCUCCUUUGACGUUAGCGGCGGACGGGUGAGUAACACGUGGGUAACCUACCUAUAAGACUGGGAUAACUUCGGGAAACCGGAGCUAAUACCGGAUAACAUUUGGAACCGCAUGGUUCUAUAGUGAAAGAUGGUUUUGCUAUCACUUAUAGAUGGACCCGCGCCGCAUUAGCUAGUUGGUAAGGUAACGGCUUACCAAGGCAACGAUACGUAGCCGACCUGAGAGGGUGAUCGGCCACACUGGAACUGAGACACGGUCCAGACUCCUACGGGAGGCAGCAGUAGGGAAUCUUCCGCAAUGGGCGAAAGCCUGACGGAGCAACGCCGCGUGAGUGAUGAAGGGCUUCGGCUCGUAAAACUCUGUUAUUAGGGAAGAACAAACGUGUAAGUAACUAUGCACGUCUUGACGGUACCUAAUCAGAAAGCCACGGCUAACUACGUG
rnacentral:rRNA from 1 species